CAUGAAAAUGUGUUUCUGAAAUGUGUAGUAUGCAGUGUAGCUUGCCUGAAUCUUAUGUUCUGAAUGAGAUGCUUCAGACUUCACAUCAUUAUUGUUGGAAUGUUUGUAUGUUUGAGAGAACAUAAUUUUUAGAUAGUCAUAACUUAAUUUGGGUGGGGUUUCUAUUCUUUAUUUGUGCUUACAAAGGACCAAAUUUAAGUCAAAAGGCAUUUGGAGCAAGUGUAAGAGAAGGGUGGGGAUUGCUUCAUUGGAAGGAAAAUG
rnacentral:misc_RNA from 1 species